AGCUCACUGGACCAGUGGUUCUGCGCCGAAAAUGUAACGGGGCUAAGCGACGUACCGAAGCUUUGGACUCUUUUAGAGUGGUAGAGGAGCAUUGUGUUUACCGACGAAGGCAUACCGUGAGGAGUGCUGGAGGUCCCACAAGAGCUGAUGGUGGCAUAAGUAGCGAUAAGGAGGGCGAGAACCCCUCCCGCCGAAAAUCCAAGGGUUCCUAGGCCAGGUAACUCCGCCUAGGGUAAGCCGGUACCUAAGCCGAGGCUGAAGAGCGUAGGCGAUGGACAACAGGUUAAUAUUCCUGUGCUUGGUAUAUAGUGUUUGACUGAAGGAGUGACGGAGAAAGGUAGCGAAUCAGGGCGUUGGUUGUCCCUGUUUAAGCAAGUAGGGUGUGUUGUAGGCAAAUCCGCAACACGUUAAGCCUGAGAUGUGAUGACGAGUCCUUUGGACGAAGUUCGUGAUCCUCUGCUUCCAAGAAAAACUUCGUAGGGAAUUAUAUAUCAAUCCGUACCCCAAACCGACACAGGUGGAUGGGAUGAGAAUUCUAAGGCGAUUGGACGAACUCUUGUUAAGGAACUCUGCAAAAUGGUGCCGUAACUUAGGGAUAAGGCACGCCAUUGUUGGUGUAGUCACUUGCUGACGAAGCUGAUGAUGGCCGCAGUGAAAAGGUGGUAGCGACUGUUUAUCAAAAACAUAGGUCUAUGCAAACACGUAAGUGGACGUAUAUGGACUGACGCCUGCCCGGUGCUCGAAGGUUAAGAGGUGAGGUUAGCGCAAGCGAAGCUUUAAAUCGAAGCCCGGGUAAACGGCGGCCGUAACUAUAACGGUCCUAAGGUAGCGAAAUUCCUAGUCGGGUAAGUUCCGACCUGCACGAAUGGCGUAACGACUUCCACACUGUCUCAACAAGAGGUCCAGCGAAAUUGGUGAGUGUGUGAAAAAACACACUACCCGCGGAAGGACGAAAAGACCCCGUGAACCUUUACUGUAACUUGGCAUUGGGUUUCGAUUAACGAUGCGUAGGAUAGGUGGGAGAUUUUGAUCCGUGCGUUCUGGCGUACGGGGAGUCAUCCUUGAAAUACCACCCUUCGUUAAUUGGAAUCCUAACCUGCGGUCAUAAUCUGGCCGGGGGACAAUGUCUGGUGGGCAGUUUGACUGGGGCGGUCGCCUCCUAAAGAGUAACGGAGGCGCGCUAAGGUUCCCUCAGCCUGAAUGGAAACCAGGCGUAGAGUGUAAACGCAUAAGGGAGCUUAACUGCGAGACAUACACGUCGAGCAGAUGCGAAAGCAGGCGUUAGUGAUCCGGUGGUUCCGAGUGGAAGGGCCAUCGCUCAACGGAU
rnacentral:rRNA from 1 species